GCCCCCAGUCAAACCACACGGACGUGGGGGCCCGCCGCUUUCCGUCCCGGGGAGACCCAGACCGCGCGGGGAAGGAGGAGAGUGGGGCGGAUCAAGUGGCCCCAGCGGGCCGCUUCUGUUUGCGGAGCUCCCUUUCCAGAAACUCUCCUCCACACGAAUGCACCCCCACACCCCCGUGAAUAAUCGGCUGCACAGCCUGCGAUCCGCCUCUCUCGAAAGCCGGGCACUCGGAGCAAACAGGCGAGAAAAGAAAGAAAAGAACGCACCACCGGCCUCCCUACACAAAACCUUGUUUUGCUCUUACGGCGCCUGCACCAUUGCGCUGCCAACGCACGGUGACUUGAACCCAGAAGGCCUGGGCAGUGGGUUAGCCAGCGUGUUUUUGUGUUUGAGGGUUGUUGUUGUGUUGGUGGGGGUGCAAGAUCUGACACGUUGCAAUCGAGCCUCUCCUCUCUCCCUUUCUCUCUCAUUGAUGUUCCUUCCUACUUGUUCUGACAGAUUAAACAUCCGU